AUUAAAUAUUGCAUUUUAACUCGUAUAUCCCCUGAAUAUGGCAGGGAGUAUCUACCGGAAGCCGUAAAUUUCCGACUAUGAGUGAUUUAUAGCUAUGC
rnacentral:ncRNA from 2 species